UACGUAGGGUGCAGGCGUUAAUCGGAAUUACUGGGCGUAAAGCGUGCGCAGGCGGUUUGCUAAGACAGGUGUGAAAUCCCCGGGCUUAACCUGGGAACUGCAUUCGAGACUGCAUUGCUAGAGUAUGGGAGAGGGAAGUGGAAUUUCCGGUGUAGCGGUGAAAUGCGUAGAUAUCGGAAGGAACAUCAGUGGCGAAAGCGACUUCCUGGACCAAUACUGACGCUCAUGUGCGAAAGCGUGGGGAGCAAACAGG
rnacentral:rRNA from 1 species